rnacentral:lncRNA from 1 species
GAUUAUUGAUUAAGAGAAGAUAGAGGAAGAUGAGAUAACAAAGGUCUUGAAGUCUCUGGGCAUUAUUAGGGNUAAUACUGAAGUUAACCCUAAAGAAGAAUGUCAAGCCACUAUCUUUACAAAUGAUAAUGUUGUCAAGGAGGAAAAGAUAGAAGAAGAAGAGCUACAGAUGUAUGAAGAAGAAACAAAAACAGAAAAAGUUGUUGCUACGAACAAGAUAGAGUCGAUAGAAACAGAAAAGUUGAAUGAGAGUGAGAAGAAGGAUGAGAAAGGAAAAGCAGUGGUUGAAAGGAAAGAAAAAAAGAAAAAAAAAUGAAAAUAAAGAAAGAAAAGAAAAAGAAAAGAAAAAGAAAAGGAGAAGGUUAAGGAAGGAGAAAAUUAAGAAAAAGAGGAAGAGAGGAAAGAAGAAAAGAUCAUAUGAAAAACCUCUUCCUCA